rnacentral:sRNA from 1 species
AGAUCCAUCCUUAAUCUGGUGGGCACCAUCUAAUCAGCUGCCAGCACAUAUAAAGCAGGCAGAGAAACGUGAAAAGGAGAGAUGGGCCUAGCCUCCCAGCCUUCAUCUUUCUCCUGUGCUGGAUGCUUCCUGCCCUCAAACAUCGGACUCCAAGUUCUUCAGUUUUGGGACUCGGACUGGCUCUCCUUACUCCUCAGCCUGCAGACAGCCUGUUGGGGACCUUGUGAUUGUCUGCCAGAGCCCCCACACCAUGAACAGAACCCCGAGGGAUGCCCAGGCCCCAAGCCACCGUGAGUGCUUCCUGCCCUCUGUGGCUCGCACCCCCUCGGUCACCAAGGUCACGCCAGCCAAGAAGAUCACCUUCCUCAAGCGAGGGGAUCCACAGUUUGCUGGGGUCCGCCUGGCCGUUCACCAGCGCGCCUUUAAGACCUUCAGCGCCCUCAUGGACGAGCUCUCCCAGCGCAUGCCUCUCUCCUUUGGGGUGCGCUCUGUCACCACACCCCGGGGCCUGCAUAGCCUCAGCGCCCUGGAGCAGCUGGAAGAUGGAGGCUGCUACCUCUGCUCUGAUAAGAAGCCCCCCAAGACCCCCAGUGGACCAGGCCGGCCACAGGAGAGAAACCCCACUGCUCAGCAGUUGCGGGAUGUCGAAGGCCAGCGUGAAGCCCCAGGAACCUCCUCCUCCAGGAAGAGUCUUAAAACCCCCCGGAGGAUACUGCUGAUGAAGAACACGGACCCUCACCUCCAGCAGACUGUGGUUCUCAGUCACAGGAAUACUAGGAACCUGGCCGCCUUUCUCAGCAAAGCCUCAGAUCUCCUGCGCUUUCCUGUGAAGCAGUUGUACACGACCAGCGGGAAAAAGGUUCUGCCGGACAUGAAUUUCCACCAAAGGUGGGCAGAAUGGAGGAUGGAGGUUGACUGACUUAAUUCACAGUCUCCUCAAGAUUCAGUCCUGUUGCUACUUAACAUCUGUAUGCACCAUUCCACCAAUACUUCAUAAAUAUCAUAUCACUGGGCACAGUGGCUCACGCCUGUAAUCCCAGCACUUUGGGAGGCUGAGGCAGGUGGAUCACCUGAGGUCAGGAGUUCGAGAUCAGCCUGGCCAAUAGGGCGAAACCCUAUAUCUACUAAAAAUACAAAAAUUAGCCAGGUGUGUUGGCGCACACCUGUAAUCCCAGCUACUCGGGAGGCUGAGGCAGGAGAAUUGCUGGAAUCUGGGAGGCAGAGGCUGCAGUGAGCCAAGAUCACACACUGUACUCCAGCCUGGGUGACAGAGCCAGACUCCAUCUCAAAAAAAAAUCAUAUGAUAACAUCAUUACAAAAACUUGAUUAUAAACAUCAGCUACAGCAGCCUGCACUCAUGUAGUAACAGAGAUCUCCCUCCUACAAUCAAAAACAUGUUCACCUUCUCCCCACAAUCGCAUUAUCACUGGACCCUUCGUCUUCUAUGCUGUGACAACCUCACCUUGAUAUCAUCUAUCUCAAGGUCUACUUAGGUAGUCCAGCACCAUCAAAGUACCCUAUGUUAAGUAGUAUAGG